CAGUAGCCACGGUAACACGAGGGGGGCAAGCGUUGUUCGGAAUUAUUGGGCGUAAAGGGCGCGUAGGCGGUUUGGCAAGUUUCGUGUGAAAUCUUCGGGCUCAACUCGAAGUCUGCACGGAAAACUGCCGGGCUUGAGUAUGGGAGAGGUGAGUGGAAUUUCCGGUGUAGCGGUGAAAUGCGUAGAUAUCGGAAGGAACACCUGUGGCGAAAGCGGCUCACUGGACCAUUACUGACGCUGAGGCGCGAAAGCUAGGGGAGCAAACAGGAUUAGAUACCCGCGUAGUCCCUGUCUCUUAUAC
rnacentral:rRNA from 1 species